rnacentral:rRNA from 1 species
AUUGAACGCUGGCGGCAGGCCUAACACAUGCAAGUCGAACGGCAGCACAGAAGAGCUUGCUCUUUGGGUGGCGAGUGGCGGACGGGUGAGUAAUGUCUGGGAAACUGCCCGAUGGAGGGGGAUAACUACUGGAAACGGUAGCUAAUACCGCAUAACGUCGCGAGACCAAAGUGGGGGACCUUCGGGCCUCACACCAUCGGAUGUGCCCAGAUGGGAUUAGCUAGUAGGUGGGGUAAUGGCUCACCUAGGCGACGAUCCCUGGCUGGUCUGAGAGGAUGACCAGCCACACUGGAACUGAGACACGGUCCAGACUCCUACGGGAGGCAGCAGUGGGGAAUAUUGCACAAUGGGCGCAAGCCUGAUGCAGUCAUGCCGCGUGUAUGAAGAAGGCCUUCGGGUUGUAAAGUACUUUCAGCGGGGAGGAAGGCGGUGAGGUUAAUAACCUUGCCGAUUGACGUUACCCGCAGAAGAAGCACCGGCUAACUCCGUGCCAGCAGCCGCGGUAA